CUGACAGCCAGAAGAGUGGGGCACAGCGAGCAGUGGUAGCGGCCUCAGGCUGCGAAGAGUUUGUUUGUUUAUUUGUCUAUCUAUUUAUUUAUUUAUUUUUCAUUUUUUGUUAUUUUUACGUUUUUACAUUUCACGCUCUCUUUUUAAAAUUUACCACUGCCAAAGAAAGGAGAACAUCACCUUCAUGUUGAAAAGAACCAUCUUACUCUCCACAGUUAAGCCAAGGAAAGGUACAGGGAAAGACAGAAAGAAGGAUAUCCACAGUUCCCCUGCCUAUACUAUCC
rnacentral:lncRNA from 1 species